rnacentral:sRNA from 1 species
AAGUAAAACUCACUGCCGUAGACAGUAGGUGCGGAUUUCCGCGUAAGUCUGAUUAUAGCCGCCUACCGAGGAAGAUGAAGUAUCUGAUAUGAUAAUUUUACUCCUCUCUCUACGUAGAGAGGUUUUUUUAUUA